GGAUGUGCCCAGAUGGGAUUAGCUAGUAGGUGGGGUAACGGCUCACCUAGGCGACGAUCCCUAGCUGGUCUGAGAGGAUGACCAGCCACACUGGAACUGAGACACGGUCCAGACUCCUACGGGAGGCAGCAGUGGGGAAUAUUGCACAAUGGGCGCAAGCCUGAUGCAGCCAUGCCGCGUGUAUGAAGAAGGCCUUCGGGUUGUAAAGUACUUUCAGCGGGGAGGAAGGGAGUAAAGUUAAUACCUUUGCUCAUUGACGUUACCCGCAGAAGAAGCACCGGCUAACUCCGUGCCAGCAGCCGCGGUAAUACGGAGGGUGCAAGCGUUAAUCGGAAUUACUGGGCGUAAAGCGCACGCAGGCGGUUUGUUAAGUCAGAUGUGAAAUCCCCGGG
rnacentral:rRNA from 1 species